rnacentral:rRNA from 1 species
CCUACGGGUGGCUGCAGUGAGGAAUAUUGGUCAAUGGACGCAAGUCUGAACCAGCCAUGCCGCGUGCAGGAAGACGGCUCUAUGAGUUGUAAACUGCUUUUGUACGAGGGUAAACGCAGAUACGCGUAUCUGUCUGAAAGUAUCUUACGAAUAAGGAUCGGCUAACUCCGUGCCAGCAGCCGCGGUAAUACGGAGGAUUCAAGCGUUAUCCGGAUUUAUUGGGUUUAAAGGGUGCGUAGGCGGUCUUAUAAGUUAGUGGUGAAAUCCCGAGGCGUAACUUCGGAAUUGCCUCUGAUACUGUUCGGCUAGAGAGUAGUUGAGGUAGGCGGAAUGUAUGGUGUAGCGGUGAAAGGCUUAGAGAUAAUACAGAACACCGAUAGCGAAGGCAGCUUACCAAGCUACUUCUGACGUUGAAGCACGAGAGCGUGGGGAGCGAACAGGAUUAGAUACCCCGGUAGUC